UACGUAGGGGCCUAGCGUUGUCCGGAUUUAUUGGGCGUAAAGGGCGCGUAGGCGGCGCGACAAGUCACUUGUGAAAUCUCUGGGCUCAACCCAGAACGGUCAAGUGAUACUGUCGUGCUAGAGUGCGGAAGGGGCAACUGGAAUUCUUGGUGUAGCGGUGAAAUGCGUAGAUAUCAAGAGGGAACACCUGCGGCGAAGGCGGGUUGCUGGGCCGACACUGACGCUGGAGGCGCGAAAGCUAGGGGAGCGAACGGG
rnacentral:rRNA from 1 species